GUCUUUGGAGGCAGAGAGUUGGCCAGAAACAAUUCGCUUGUCAAGGACUACGGUGUCAUUAGUGGCAAAGUUUUGCAUUUGGUUCUUAAGCUUUCUGAUCUCUUGCUUAUCACUGUACGUACCACUUGUGGACGGGAAGUUGAGUUCCAUGCAGAUAGAUAUAGGAAUGUUGGGUAUUUAAAGCAACGAAUAUUUAAAGAAGGGAGAGUUUUUAUUGAUGUUGAGGAACAAGAGAUCUUUUACAAUGGUGAAAAGCUUGACAACCACAGGCUUAUUGGCGAUAUAUGCAUCAACAAUGAUGCUGCCAUUCAUUUGUUGGUCCAAAAAUCUGCACAGGUGAGGGACAGGUGAGGGCUACGCCCUUGGAGAAAGAUUUUGAGAUCUCCAUUGUGGCAGUGAAUCCCAAUGAGAGAAGAGAGAGUGAAGUAGAAGGAGGACA
rnacentral:misc_RNA from 1 species